UAGGGAAUCUUCCGCAAUGGACGCAAGUCUGACGGAGCAACGCCGCGUGAGUGAAGAAGGUUUUCGGAUCGUAAAGCUCUGUUGUUAAGGAAGAACGAGUGUGAGAAUGGAAAGUUCAUACUGUGACGGUACUUAACCAGAAAGGGACGGCUAACUACGUGCCAGCAGCCGCGGUAAUACGUAGGUCCCGAGCGUUGUCCGGAUUUAUUGGGCGUAAAGCGAGCGCAGGCGGUUAGAUAAGUCUGAAGUUAAAGGCAGUGGCUCAACCAUUGUAGGCUUUGGAAACUGGUUAACUUGAGUGCAGAAGGGGAGAGUGGAAUUCCAUGUGUAGCGGUGAAAUGCGUAGAUAUAUGGAGGAACACCGGUGGCGAAAGCGGCUCUCUGGUCUGUAACUGACGCUGAGGCUCGAAAGCGUGGGGAGCGAACAGG
rnacentral:rRNA from 1 species